rnacentral:lncRNA from 1 species
UAUGGAAAUAGAUUGCGGUCAAGUACACUAUUUCAACAAAGAUGCAUGAAUCUAAUAAAGGUAGACAAAAAGGCUCUUCAAUUUAAUAUAAUUCUUGAAUGAAAAUAUUAAAAAAAAUACUUAAAAAAAAGGGCCCAUGAAACUGUUCUUGGCAAUACUGUUUACCAUGUGAAGCAAGAGCAGAAUAGGAAAAGGUCAUCCCAUGGCGCUUCACGGUCAAAGAAUUUGUCCAGAAAGGGACCUCUCUAUAAGAGAAAGUAGGGUCAUUAUGGGAAAUUCACUCCAUCUAAUUAAUAAAAGUCCCAUCCCACCAUCUUCCCUUCAAGUGAGUACCCAAGCAGCCACUGCAACAUCACGGCACAUCAGCCAUUCAACCCCCCCUCCCUCCCUCUCUUUCUCUACCCUCCUUUUCUUUUGCUAAAGACCAUCUCCCCCUUCAAGUGAGCACCGAAGCUGCAACUGCAACAUCACGGCAUAGCAGCCAUUCAACCUCCUCCCUCCUUUUCUCUCUCUACCACCCAAGAGGGGAGAAGAAACCGAGAGGAGAAAAUUAAAAGAA